rnacentral:siRNA from 1 species
CUGCUUUGACCCAUACAAC